rnacentral:misc_RNA from 1 species
AGGCCCCACCUGCAUAACGUUUAAAGUAGAAACAUUAAGAGGGAGCAACAUAAUAGCCCUGCAUUUCCCCUACUAUAUGCCUGUAGUUUUAAUCUAUCAAGUUAUGAGGAAUACAAUUGCCCUCCUUCAGUUUCUUGAGAAUUUUGGCAGUGUUGUAUGUUAGCAAAAAAGUAUACAUUAACACAGUAGAAAAGAGAGAGAAGCAAACACAAGAAUAUUACGUGGUUUAAUGAUUAUCUGCUUUUUUUCACUACUGAGGAUAGUGCAAGAGGAUCAUAAACACUUCCAUUCAAAAUUUAUUGCACUGAAUGCUUGAGACAUGAACACAUGAAAGUCCUAAACAGCUAAUUGUUUUAUAAUGAUUCACAAGAAGACAAAGUGGCACAGAAGGAAAUAUAAGAAGGUUGAAUGGAAUUGAAACCAAUUAACUGCAGAGAUACAAAGAUUCUAUUACAAGUCUCUGCUAUUAAUUGCAGACAAGUGUGAGGAAACAUUCUUUCUUAAAAAAUUUUAUAUUCUCGUACGAAGUGGAGAACAUGUUUUCCUAACAAAGGGUGAGAGAGGAGAAUAAUUGGCAGAUACCUUAUUUGGCUCCUUGAAGGUA